GAUGAAGAACGUAGCGAACUGCGAUAAGUAAUGCGAAUUGCAGAAUUCAGUGAAUCAUCGAGUCUUUGAACGCACAUUGCGCCCCCUGGCAUUCCGGGGGGCAUGCCUGUCCGAGCGUCAUUUCUGCCCAUCAAGCGCGGCUUGUGUGUUGGGUCGUCGUCUCCUCCGGGAGACGGGCCCGAAAGGCAGCGGCGGUACCGUCCGGUCCUCGAGCGUAUGGGAGCUUUGUCACCCGCUCGAUUAGGGCCCGGUCGGCGCCAGCCGUCAACCCCAAUUUUUAUUCAGGUUGACCUCGGAUCAGGUAGGGAUACCCGCUGAACUUAAGCAUAUCAAUAAGCGGAGGA
rnacentral:misc_RNA from 1 species